CCUACGGGAGGCAGCAGUGAGGAAUAUUGGUCUAUGGGAGAGAUCCUGAACCAGCCAAGCCGCGUGAGGGAAGACGGCCCUAUGGGUUGUAAACCUCUUUUGUCGGAGAACAAAACCCGGGACGUGUCCCGGACUGCGUGUAUCCGAAGAAAAAGCAUCGGCUAACUCCGUGCCAGCAGCCGCGGUAAUACGGAGGAUGCGAGCGUUAUCCGGAUUUAUUGGGUUUAAAGGGUGCGUAGGCGGAACAUUAAGUCAGCGGUAAAAUCGAGGGGCUCAACCCCUUUAAGCCGUUGAAACUGGUGAUCUUGAGUGGGCGAGAAGUAUGCGGAAUGCGUGGUGUAGCGGUGAAAUGCAUAGAUAUCACGCAGAACUCCGAUUGCGAGGGCAGCAUACCGGCGCCCGACUGACGCUGAGGCACGAAAGCGUGGGGAUCGAACAGGAUUAGAUACCCGAGUAGUC
rnacentral:rRNA from 1 species